GGAGGAACGCUAGCGGCAGGCCUAAUACAUGCAAGUCGAGGGGCAUCGGGGUAGCAAUACUGCCGGCGAGCGGCGCACGGGUGCGUAACACGUAUGCAACCUACCUUCAACAGGGAGAUAGCCCGGGGAGACUCGGAGCAAUAUUCCAUAACACAGGGGACCCACAUGGGUAUAUUGUUAAAGCUCAGGCGGUUGAAGAUGGGCAUGCGUCCGAUUAGCUAGUUGGCGGGGUAAUGGCCCACCAAGGCUUUGAUCGGUAGGGGGUCUGAGAGGAUGAUCCCCCACACUGGUACUGAGAUACGGACCAGUCUCCUACGGGAGGCAGCAGUAGGGAAUAUUGGUCAAUGGGGGCAACCCUGAACCAGCCAUGCCGCGUGCAGGAAGAAGGCGUUCUGCGUUGUAAACUGCUUUUGAUUGGGAACAAAUGACUCUUGCGAGAGUAGCUGAGUGUACCAAUAGAAUAAGCCACGGCUAACUACGUGCCAGCAGCCGCGGUAAUACGUAGGUGGCAAGCGUUGUCCGGAUUUAUUGGGUUUAAAGGGUGCGUAGGCGGCAAAGUAAGUCAGUGGUGAAAGCCGAUCGCUUAACGAUCGAACUGCCAUUGAUACUGUUUUGCUUGAGUAUACAUGAGGUAGGCGGAAUUGACAGUGUAGCGGUGAAAUGCAUAGAUAUUGUCAAGAACUCCGAUUGCGAAGGCAGCUUACUAAGGUAUAACUGACGCUGAGGCACGAAAGUGCGGGGAUCAAACAGGAUUAGAUACCCUGGUAGUCCGCACCGUAAACGAUGAUCACUCGCUGUUGGCGAUAAACAGUCAGCGGCCGAAGCGAAAGCGAUAAGUGAUCCACCUGGGGAGUACGCCCGCAAGGGUGA
rnacentral:rRNA from 1 species